AACGAACGCUGGCGGCAGGCUUAACACAUGCAAGUCGAGCGCCCCGCAAGGGGAGCGGCAGACGGGUGAGUAACGCGUGGGAAUCUACCCAUCUCUACGGAAUAACGCAUGGAAACGUGUGCUAAUACCGUAUACGUCCUUCGGGAGAAAGAUUUAUCGGAGAUGGAUGAGCCCGCGUUGGAUUAGCUAGUUGGUGGGGUAAAGGCUUACCAAGGCGACGAUCCAUCGCUGGUCUGAGAGGAUGAUCAGCCACACUGGGACUGAGACACGGCCCAGACUCCUACGGGAGGCAGCAGUGGGGAAUAUUGGACAAUGGGCGCAAGCCUGAUCCAGCCAUGCCGCGUGAGUGAUGAAGGCCCUAGGGUUGUAAAGCUCUUUCACCGGUGAAGAUAAUGACGGUAACCGGAGAAGAAGCCCCGGCUAACUUCGUGCCAGCCGCCGCCGUAAUAC
rnacentral:rRNA from 1 species